rnacentral:lncRNA from 1 species
CAAUACAUUACAUUGAUAAGAUAGCUUCAAUUUAUGGACAUUUUCAGUUUACAGCACCCAUCUGGAACUGAAGAUGACAUAACUCUGGGAUAUUCCUGUGUUCAUUUUUGGAAUGGGACAAGUCAUACAAUUACAUUCUUGAUAGUUAAGGAGUAUACGGUGUCUAUAUUUUGCUUUUUCAAACCUUUCACUGCCAUUUUUCCUACCAUGAAAGAGCGGAGAAAUCAAUUUGAGCACAGUAACAAGUUGGACUGGUCUGGUAUAUAGACUGGUGUGUUCCAAAACCAUUAUUGGUUUAGGACUAGGGAAAAAGAUUUAUUGCAAGGAAAUGAAAACGUGGUAUUCUUAUUCCUUGAACAGUUCGCCACUGUCUUUCAGGCAGAAAUCUAUGCUAUUUCUUCAUGGGUUAAAAUUAAUCUUGAUAGGAGACAUAUUAAUAAACAAUAUUUAUA